GACGAACGCUGGCGGCGUGCUUAACACAUGCCAGUCGAACGGAAAGGCCCUGCUUUUGUGGGGUGCUCGAGUGGCGAACGGGUGAGUAACACGUGAGUAACCUGCCCUUGACUUUGGGAUAACUUCAGGAAACUGGGGCUAAUACCGGAUAGGAGCUCCUGCUGCAUGGUGGGGGUUGGAAAGUUUCGGCGGUUGGGGAUGGACUCGCGGCUUAUCAGCUUGUUGGUGGGGUAGUGGCUUACCAAGGCUUUGAUGGGUAGCCGGCCUGAGAGGGUGAUCGGCCACAUUGGGACUGAGAUACGGCCCAGACUCCUACGGGAGGCAGCAGUGGGGAAUAUUGCACAAUGGGCGGAAGCCUGAUGCAGCAACGCCGCGUGCGGGAUGACGGCCUUCGGGUUGUAAACCGCUUUCGCCUGUGACGAAGCGUGAGUGACGGUAAUGGGUAAAGAAGCACCGGCUAACUACGUG
rnacentral:rRNA from 1 species